UACACUGCUAGACAGAUAUCCAGCUAUGUUGCAAGAAGGGAACCCUUGCCCUAAGGCUCUUUACUCCUAACAGUCCACACAGAUAAGUGUUGCUUGCAGCCAGGGAACCUAAUUUUCAGAGCAAUGAAGUAAAGCCAACAGGAUUGGUGACAAGGGCUUGCCUUUCCUAGACAGGAUUCAUCUCAGGAGAGCACAGUAGCCAACGGCUCUGACAUUGCUGCAGCAGAAUAACCAUGAACCUGGGGUACAUCCUGGCCUUGUGAAAAAUUCAAGCUUUGUUAAAAAAGCGUUACAUUCCUUGCGAACCCAAUCAGACAUUUGAAAUGCGUUCAGCUCCCCUGAACAUCAAAAGGGGUGAUCAGCAAGUCUCAGGCUUGGACCUGAUUUGACAAUUUUAAGGUUUUAAGGUCGUUCUAAGUUCUUCGUUUGAAUCCUCCCAUAUGAAAUGAGAGCAAUGCAAAAUGCCAACUGAUUCUGCAGCCUGUGUUGUGGAUCAUACUGCUGUCGUCCUGGACCUUCCUGAGAUGGUCUUGAUGUCUCUCUUCUCUUCUGGACCUGGAACCAGACUUAAUAAAUAUGUGUCAAGAUCCCUUCGGCAGCAAGAUCAAGGAGGUUUUUCAGUCACAGCAGUCGCAAACCUUCCUUCACCCACACCCUGGAGGUGGUGGGCAGCUAGAAGGUGGCAGGUGAUUUUUCUCUCAGGGUUAUGUUUGCAGAUUUUCUCCUCCAAUCUAACUUUCAGAUGGUCCUUCACUGCCAAGCUGAACAAGGUGCUGGGUUGCAAAUCUCAAUGUGAGUCAAAUGACGAAAGGCUGGAGUGCAGCAGCAGCAUAUUCUAAUGAUUUAGAGAAAUCUGAUCUAUUUUUCUCUGGGAUAUUUUGUACCACGUUGGGAG